AAAAUGCUUUGUUGUUGUUGUUGUUGUUGUAUUUAUUUUUACAUAAGCAUUUCUCAUUUCUUCGGGCAAAUAAACAAACAUUAAUAAUGCGAACUUAGAUACAAACAUUAAUAAUGAGAACUUAGAUAAAUGUCAUUGACGAUGUAUUUUUGGAAUGAAAGUCUGGUGCAACAAAUGACAUUUUAUUGGUUUGUACAUAUGAGAUGGUAAACGAAUUGUUGAAGCCACAACCUUCUUUGAAUUGUUGUCCUGCAUGCAUUGGAGAAUAUUAGAAAUCACUGAAACUCAAAUAAGUUGAAACGGUUAUGCUUAUUGUAUAUGUGUUUCCGAAAAUAGCAGUUUUUACUAAACCUAGAAGAAGUUGAAGAUGUGCUUGAUCGAUUAAUUGUGUUCAUCCUUCCUGUCGAUUUCAUCAUCUUCACCCUUCCUGUGUUAGAAAUAAAAGACAGAUAUUUUCUUGAGAUAUAAUUGAGUUUUCAAAAGAAGAAAAACAUAUCUAAAUACACUCUAGUGUGCACAUACGCACAUACAUAUAUAUAUAUAUACACACACACACACACACACACAUACACACAUACAUAUUUAUGUGUGUGUAUGUGUAUUUUUGACUAAAUUUUGAUUACACUUUCGUCAAACUAAAUCUGAACUGUUGAUUAUGCUUUGCCUAAAUUUGUUGUCGAAAUUUUUGUGCUGUUUGCCAUAAAUGAUUGGAAAUUAAAAACCUUAUAUUAAAGCAUACCUUGUGACGUAAAUAUUCCUUAGAGUGGCAUUGAGGUCCCCCUUCCAUUCAGCCACUCCCAACGCGGUGCGUACUUGCAAUCGGGGAUGUGUGCCGGUAAGUUUAGGAGCUAAUAGGCUUAAGUUUUGCACGUCAGUAACCUUCAAUAACUCCAAAGACGGCAACUUCAAAGUAUAAGCUUCACCACAAAAAUACUUGAGUUUUGGCAGCCUUAAAAGCUUGAUGGACUUCACUUUAGGUAAUGUAAUUAUUUCAGCUGUUUCUUCUUCUGCGGCAAUGAUUUCUUCCAUCUGCUCACACUUCUGAACUUCUAUGUUCUCUACACUCACAAGAAGUUUGACUAUGGACGAUGAAAACAAGUAUUUCAACUGGUUGCAAUAAUAGACCCGCAGCGAUUUCAAGUUUCCGAAGCUGCUUCCCGUAAACAUCGGUUGUGAACUACCCGUCUCCCAAACACGCGUUAAACUUGGCAAUGUAUAUAACUGCAAGGAACUCAAUUUAUUGAAUGCUUCAACAGAGUGACUACUUUCUUCAUGCUUCGGUCCCUUGAGUUGGAAAAUCACUUCCAUCGAAUUACAGUCACUUACAGUUAAUUGGACGUGGCAAUAUUUCAAUGGGGCGGUGGGCGUUUGGUCUUGAGUAUGGUGCGCAUCCACAUCCAGCAGGGCACCAAUUCGAUGAACGUGUUGGAGAAGUGCUGAAAUCAUGACUUGUUGAAUCCUUCUUCAAGUUAUUCACCAAUGUCUUCAAAUUUUCACAUUUGUUCACGUGCAUAUUUUUUAUGGAUGACCAUAGAAAUGUAAAUCCCUCUGGACAAAGACUUGUGAGACGAGGCAGGUAUUGUAGUUCAAAUGUGUUCAGUUUCGGAAACAAAA